rnacentral:rRNA from 1 species
AGAAGUCGUAACAAGGUUUCCGUAGGUGAACUUGCGGAAAGAUCAUUG